rnacentral:rRNA from 1 species
UGGGGGAUAUUGCACAAUGGGCGAAAGCCUAAUGCAGCGACGCCGCGUGGGGGAUGAAGGCCUUCGGGUUGUAAACUUCUUUUGCUCUGAACAAGGCGCACCAUGGGGUGUGUUGAGUGUAGGGGUUGAUUAGCGCCGGCUAACUACGUGCCAGCAGCCGCGGUAAUACGUAGGGCGCGAGCGUUGUCCGGAAUUAUUGGGCGUAAAGGGCUUGUAGGUGGCUGGUUGCGUCUGUCGUGAAAGCUCAUGGCUUAACUGUGGGUUUGCUGUGGGUACGGGCUGGCUUGAGUGCAGUAGGGGAGGGUGGAAUUCCUGGGGUAGCGGUGGAAUGCGCAGAUAUCAGGAGGAAUACCGGUGGCGAAGGCGGGUCUCUGGGCUGUUACUGACACUGAGGAGCGAAAGCAUGGGGAGCGAACAGG